UGGAACCCUCGAGGCAGUGCAGAGACUGCGUGUGGCAAGGUGUGCGUCAGGAGAUGGCAGAGGAGAAAGGCCACGUCUGUGCUCUGACCAACGAACAUCUGAAUGAGUAGCCGGCGAACACC
rnacentral:snoRNA from 1 species